CCUGGAGUCUGGACCUCAGGGGCUCCCACAGCUCUGGGGAGACCGUGGCCACCGGAGCAGGGAGAUGCCAGGGUGCCGCUCCCCACGCACAAAGCCUGGCCUCUCCAGAGCAUGUACCUGCCC